AGGUAAGUAAGGUUCAAUGAUGUACUGGAUAAGGCAGUAAGUACGAAUCAAUGUUGCAGUGGAUAAGGGUGUAGGUACGCUUCAAUGUUGAAGUGGAUAAGGGAGUAGGUAAGGUACAAAGUUGCAGUGGAUAAGGGGGUAAGAAAGGUACAAUGUUGUAGUGGAUGAGGGAAUGGGAAAUGCGCAAUGUUGUAGUGGAUAAGGAAGUAAGUAGGGUACAAUGUUGUAGUGGAUAAGGAAGUAAGUAAGCUGCAAUGUUGUAGUGGAUAAAGGAGUAAGUAAUGAGCAAUGUUGUAGUAGAUAAGGGAGUAGGUACGGUACAAUGUUGCAGUAGAUAAGGGAGUAAGUAAGGUACAAUGUUGUAGUGGA